rnacentral:rRNA from 1 species
GGUUAAGCGACUAAGCGUACACGGUGGAUGCCCUGGCAGUCAGAGGCGAUGAAGGACGUGCUAAUCUGCGAUAAGCGUCGGUAAGGUGAUAUGAACCGUUAUAACCGGCGAUUUCCGAAUGGGGAAACCCAGUGUGUUUCGACACACUAUCAUUAACUGAAUCCAUAGGUUAAUGAGGCGAACCGGGGGAACUGAAACAUCUAAGUACCCCGAGGAAAAGAAAUCAACCGAGAUUCCCCCAGUAGCGGCGAGCGAACGGGGAGCAGCCCAGAGCCUGAAUCAGUGUGUGUGUUAGUGGAAGCGUCUGGAAAGGCGCGCGAUACAGGGUGACAGCCCCGUACACAAAAAUGCACAUGCUGUGAGCUCGAUGAGUAGGGCGGGACACGUGGUAUCCUGUCUGAAUAUGGGGGGACCAUCCUCCAAGGCUAAAUACUCCUGACUGACCGAUAGUGAACCAGUACCGUGAGGGAAAGGCGAAAAGAACCCCGGCGAGGGGAGUGAAAAAGAACCUGAAACCGUGUACGUACAAGCAGUGGGAGCACGCUUCGGCGUGUGACUGCGUACCUUUUGUAUAAUGGGUCAGCGACUUAUAUUCUGUAGCAAGGUUAACCGAAUAGGGGAGCCGAAGGGAAACCGAGUCUUAACUGGGCGUUAAGUUGCAGGGUAUAGACCCGAAACCCGGUGAUCUAGCCAUGGGCAGGUUGAAGGUUGGGUAACACUAACUGGAGGACCGAACCGACUAAUGUUGAAAAAUUAGCGGAUGACUUGUGGCUGGGGGUGAAAGGCCAAUCAAACCGGGAGAUAGCUGGUUCUCCCCGAAAGCUAUUUAGGUAGCGCCUCGUGAAUUCAUCUCCGGGGGUAGAGCACUGUUUCGGCAAGGGGGUCAUCCCGACUUACCAACCCGAUGCAAACUGCGAAUACCGGAGAAUGUUAUCACGGGAGACACACGGCGGGUGCUAACGUCCGUCGUGAAGAGGGAAACAACCCAGACCGCCAGCUAAGGUCCCAAAGUCAUGGUUAAGUGGGAAACGAUGUGGGAAGGCCCAGACAGCCAGGAUGUUGGCUUAGAAGCAGCCAUCAUUUAAAGAAAGCGUAAUAGCUCACUGGUCGAGUCGGCCUGCGCGGAAGAUGUAACGGGGCUAAACCAUGCACCGAAGCUGCGGCAGCGACACUAUGUGUUGUUGGGUAGGGGAGCGUUCUGUAAGCCUGUGAAGGUGUGCUGUGAGGCAUGCUGGAGGUAUCAGAAGUGCGAAUGCUGACAUAAGUAACGAUAAAGCGGGUGAAAAGCCCGCUCGCCGGAAGACCAAGGGUUCCUGUCCAACGUUAAUCGGGGCAGGGUGAGUCGACCCCUAAGGCGAGGCCGAAAGGCGUAGUCGAUGGGAAACAGGUUAAUAUUCCUGUACUUGGUGUUACUGCGAAGGGGGGACGGAGAAGGCUAUGUUGGCCGGGCGACGGUUGUCCCGGUUUAAGCGUGUAGGCUGGUUUUCCAGGCAAAUCCGGAAAAUCAAGGCUGAGGCGUGAUGACGAGGCACUACGGUGCUGAAGCAACAAAUGCCCUGCUUCCAGGAAAAGCCUCUAAGCAUCAGGUAACAUCAAAUCGUACCCCAAACCGACACAGGUGGUCAGGUAGAGAAUACCAAGGCGCUUGAGAGAACUCGGGUGAAGGAACUAGGCAAAAUGGUGCCGUAACUUCGGGAGAAGGCACGCUGAUAUGUAGGUGAAGCGACUUGCUCGUGGAGCUGAAAUCAGUCGAAGAUACCAGCUGGCUGCAACUGUUUAUUAAAAACACAGCACUGUGCAAACACGAAAGUGGACGUAUACGGUGUGACGCCUGCCCGGUGCCGGAAGGUUAAUUGAUGGGGUCAGCGCAAGCGAAGCUCUUGAUCGAAGCCCCGGUAAACGGCGGCCGUAACUAUAACGGUCCUAAGGUAGCGAAAUUCCUUGUCGGGUAAGUUCCGACCUGCACGAAUGGCGUAAUGAUGGCCAGGCUGUCUCCACCCGAGACUCAGUGAAAUUGAACUCGCUGUGAAGAUGCAGUGUACCCGCGGCAAGACGGAAAGACCCCGUGAACCUUUACUAUAGCUUGACACUGAACAUUGAGCCUUGAUGUGUAGGAUAGGUGGGAGGCUUUGAAGUGUGGACGCCAGUCUGCAUGGAGCCGACCUUGAAAUACCACCCUUUAAUGUUUGAUGUUCUAACGUUGACCCGUAAUCCGGGUUGCGGACAGUGUCUGGUGGGUAGUUUGACUGGGGCGGUCUCCUCCUAAAGAGUAACGGAGGAGCACGAAGGUUGGCUAAUCCUGGUCGGACAUCAGGAGGUUAGUGCAAUGGCAUAAGCCAGCUUGACUGCGAGCGUGACGGCGCGAGCAGGUGCGAAAGCAGGUCAUAGUGAUCCGGUGGUUCUGAAUGGAAGGGCCAUCGCUCAACGGAUAAAAGGUACUCCGGGGAUAACAGGCUGAUACCGCCCAAGAGUUCAUAUCGACGGCGGUGUUUGGCACCUCGAUGUCGGCUCAUCACAUCCUGGGGCUGAAGUAGGUCCCAAGGGUAUGGCUGUUCGCCAUUUAAAGUGGUACGCGAGCUGGGUUUAGAACGUCGUGAGACAGUUCGGUCCCUAUCUGCCGUGGGCGCUGGAGAACUGAGGGGGGCUGCUCCUAGUACGAGAGGACCGGAGUGGACGCAUCACUGGUGUUCGGGUUGUCAUGCCAAUGGCACUGCCCGGUAGCUAAAUGCGGAAGAGAUAAGUGCUGAAAGCAUCUAAGCACGAAACUUGCCCCGAGAUGAGUUCUCCCUGACUCCUUGAGAGUCCUGAAGGAACGUUGAAGACGACGACGUUGAUAGGCCGGGUGUGUAAGCGCAGCGAUGCGUUGAGCUAACCGGUACUAAUGAACCGUGAGGCUUAACCUU